rnacentral:rRNA from 1 species
AUGAUGCCCUUCGGGGUGGAUUAGUGGCGAACGGGUGAGUAACACGUGAGCAACCUGCCCUUGACUCUGGGAUAAGCCUGGGAAGCUGGGUCUAAUACCGGAUAUUGCCUCCUGCCGCAUGGUGGGGGGUGGAAAGCCUUGUGCGGUCUUGGAUGGGCUCGCGGCCUAUCAGCUUGUUGGUGGGGUGAUGGCCUACCAAGGCGACGACGGGUAGCCGGCCUGAGAGGGUGACCGGCCACACUGGGACUGAGACACGGCCCAGACUCCUACGGGAGGCAGCAGUGGGGAAUAUUGCACAAUGGGCGCAAGCCUGAUGCAGCGACGCCGCGUGGGGGAUGACGGCCUUCGGGUUGUAAACCCCUUUCGGCGGGGAACAAGCCCUUCGGGGUGAGGGUACCCGCGGAAGAAGCGCCGGCUAACUACGUGCCAGCAGCCGCGGUAAUACGUAGGGCGCGAGCGUUAUCCGGAAUUAUUGGGCGUAAAGAGCUCGUAGGCGGUUUGUCGCGUCUGCUGUGAAAGCCCGGGGCUCAACCCCGGGUCUGCAGUGGGUACGGGCAGGCUGGAGUGCAGUAGGGGAGACUGGAAUUCCUGGUGUAGCGGUGAAAUGCGCAGAUAUCAGGAGGAACACCGAUGGCGAAGGCAGGUCUCUGGGCUGUAACUGACGCUGAGGAGCGAAAGCGUGGGGAGCGAACAGGAUUAGAUACCCUGGUAGUCCACGCCGUAAACGUUG